AGUGAACGCUGGCGGUAGGCCUAACACAUGCAAGUCGAACGGCAGCACAGUAAGAGCUUGCUCUUACGGGUGGCGAGUGGCGGACGGGUGAGGAAUACAUCGGAAUCUACUUUUUCGUGGGGGAGAACGUAGGGAAACUCACGCUAAUACCGCAUACGACCUACGGGUGAAAGCAGGGGAUCUUCGGACCUUGCGCGAUUGAAUGAGCCGAUGUCGGAUUAGCUAGUUGGCGGGGUAAAGGCCCACCAAGGCGACGAUCCGUAGCUGGUCUGAGAGGAUGAUCAGCCACACUGGAACUGAGACACGGUCCAGACUCCUACGGGAGGCAGCAGUGGGGAAUAUUGGACAAUGGGCGCAAGCCUGAUCCAGCCAUACCGCGUGGGUGAAGAAGGCCUUCGGGUUGUAAAGCCCUUUUGUUGGGAAAGAAAAGCAGCAGGUUAAUACCCCGCUGUUCUGACGGUACCCAAAGAAUAAGCACCGGCUAACUUCGUG
rnacentral:rRNA from 1 species